rnacentral:rRNA from 1 species
UUGACCUCAAAUCAGGUAGGACUACCCGCUGAACUUAAGCAUAUCAAUAAGCGGAGGAAAAGAAACUAACAAGGAUUCCCCUAGUAACUGCGAGUGAACCGGGAAAAGCUCAAAUUUUGAAUCUGGCGGUCUUUCGGCCGUCCGAGUUGUAAU